rnacentral:rRNA from 1 species
GGGGAAUAUUGCACAAUGGGCGAAAGCCUGAUGCAGCGACGCCGCGUGGAGGAUGAAGGCCUUCGGGUCGUAAACUCCUGUCUGGGGGGAUGAACACUGACAGUACCCCCGGAGGAAGCCCCGGCUAACUACGUGCCAGCAGCCGCGGUAAUACGUAGGGGGCGAGCGUUGUCCGGAAUUACUGGGCGUAAAGCGCGCGCAGGCGGCUUGUUAAGUCAGGUGUCAAAAUGCGGGGCUCAACCCCGUAUCGCACUUGAAACUGGCAGGCUUGAGUGCAGGAGAGGGAAGUGGAAUUCCUAGUGUAGCGGUGAAAUGCGUAGAUAUUAGGAGGAACACCAGUGGCGAAGGCGACUUCCUGGACUGUAACUGACGCUCAGGCGCGAAAGCUAGGGGAGCAAAC